rnacentral:rRNA from 1 species
CGAACGCUGGCGGCAGGCUUAACACAUGCAAGUCGAACGCCCCGACAAGGGGCAGUGGCAGUACGGGUGAGUAACGCNUGGGAACAUACCCUUUCCUGCGGAAUAUGCUCCGGGAAACUGGAAUUAAUACCGCAUACGCCCUACGGGGGAAAGAUUUAUCGGGGAAGGAUUGGCCCGCGUUGGAUUAGCUAGUUGGUGGGGUAAAGGCCUACCAAGGCGACGAUCCAUAGCUGGUCUGAGAGGAUGAUCAGCCACAUUGGGACUGAGACACGGCCCAAACUCCUACGGGAGGCAGCAGUGGGGAAUAUUGGACAAUGGGCGCAAGCCUGAUCCAGCCAUGCCGCGUGAGUGAUGAAGGCCUUAGGGUUGUAAAGCUCUUUCACCGGAGAAGAUAAUGACGGUAUCCGGAGAAGAAGCCCCGGCUAACUUCGUGCCAGCAGCCGCGGUAAUACGAAGGGGGCUAGCGUUGUUCGGAAUUACUGGGCGUAAAGCGCACGUAGGCGGAUAUUUAAGUCANGGGUGAAAUCCCANAGCUCAACUCUGGAACUGCCUUUGAUACUGGGUAUCUUGAGUAUGGAA